GACGAACGCUGGCGGCGUGCCUAAUACAUGCAAGUAGAACGCUGAAGCGAGGAGCUUGCUCUUCUUGAAUGAGUUGCGAACGGGUGAGUAACGCGUAGGUAACCUGCCUUGUAGCGGGGGAUAACUAUUGGAAACGAUAGCUAAUACCGCAUAACAAUGGGUGACACAUGUCAUUUAUUUGAAAGGGGCAAUUGCUCCACUACAAGAUGGACCUGCGUUGUAUUAGCUAGUAGGUGAGGUAACGGCUCACCUAGGCGACGAUACAUAGCCGACCUGAGAGGGUGAUCGGCCACACUGGGACUGAGACACGGCCCAGACUCCUACGGGAGGCAGCAGUAGGGAAUCUUCGGCAAUGGGGGCAACCCUGACCGAGCAACGCCGCGUGAGUGAAGAAGGUUUUCGGAUCGUAAAGCUCUGUUGUAAGUCAAGAAUGAGUGUGAGAGUGGAAAGUUCACACUGUGACGGUAGCUUACCAGAAAGGGACGGCUAACUACGUG
rnacentral:rRNA from 1 species